rnacentral:rRNA from 1 species
AUUGAACGCUGGCGGCAGGCCUAACACAUGCAAGUCGAACGAGUGGCGGAAGGGAGAGUAAUGUCUGGGAAAGUGACUGGUGGAGGGGGAUAAGUACUGGAAACGGUAGCUAAAACCGCAAACCAUGAGAUGUGCCCAGUUGGGAUUAGCUUGUUGGUGGGGUAACGGCGAACAAAGGCGACGAUCCCGAGCUGGUGUGAUAGGAGGACCAGCCACACUGGAACUGAGACACGGUCCAGACUCCUACGGGAGGCAGCAGUGGGGAAUAGUGGACAAUGGGUGCAAGCCUGAUGCAGCCAUGCCGCGUGUCUGAAGAAGGCCUUCGGGUUGUAAAGUACUUUCAGCGGGGAGGCGUUACCCACAGAAGAAGCACCGGCUAACUUCGUGCCAGCCGCCGCGGUAAUUC